rnacentral:rRNA from 1 species
GACAGAGGGUGCAAACGUUGUUCGGAAUUACUGGGCGUAAAGCGCGCGUAGGUGGUUCGGUAAGUCGGAUGUGAAAUCUCCAGGCUCAACCUGGAGGGGUCAUUCGAUACUGCCGUGACUAGAGUUCGGUAGGGGAGUGUGGAAUUCCUGGUGGAGCGGUGAAAUGCGCAGAUAUCAGGAGGAACACCCGUAGCGAAGGCGGCACUCUGGGCCGAUACUGACACUGAGGAGCGAAAGCGUGGGGAGCGAACAGG